rnacentral:rRNA from 1 species
GACGAACGCUGGCGGCGUGCUUAACACAUGCAAGUCGAACGAUGAACACCGGCAGCUUGCUCUGGUGGGAUUAGUGGCAGAACUGGGUGAGUAACACGUGAGCAAUCUGCCCUUGACUCUGGGAUAAGCGUUGGAAACGACGUCUAAUACCGGAUACGACCUCUCUUGGCAUCAAGCGGAGGUGGAAAGAUUUAUCGGUCAAGGAUGAGCUCGCGGCCUAUCAGCUAGUUGGUGAGGUAAUGGCUCACCAAGGCGAUGACGGGUAGCCGGCCUGAGAGGGUGACCGGCCACACUGGGACUGAGACACGGCCCAGACUCCUACGGGAGGCAGCAGUGGGGAAUAUUGCACAAUGGGCGCAAGCCUGAUGCAGCAACGCCGCGUGAGGGACGAAGGCCUUCGGGUUGUAAACCUCUUUUAGCAGGGAAGAAGCGCAAGUGACGGUACCUGCAGAAAAAGCACCGGCUAACUACGUGCCAGCAGCCGCGGUAAUACGUAGGGUGCAAGCGUUGUCCGGAAUUAUUGGGCGUAAAGAGCUCGUAGGCNGUUUGU